rnacentral:rRNA from 1 species
UACGGGGGGAGCGAACGUUGUUCGGAAUCACUGGGCGUAAAGGGCGUGUAGGCGGCUGAAUAAGUGGGAUGUUAAAUCCCCCGGCUCAACCGGGGACCUGCAUCUCAUACUGUUCAGCUCGAGCACAUCAGAGGAGACUGGAAUUCCCGGUGUAGCGGUGAAAUGCGUAGAUAUCGUAAGGAAGACCAGUGGCGAAGGCGGGUCUCUGGACAGUUCCUGACGCUGAGGCACGAAGGUCAGGGGAGCAAACGGG